rnacentral:tRNA from 1 species
GCGUUUGUGGCCGUUGACGAACAGUGGCGAACGUACCAAUGCGGACUUCUAAUCCGCGGGUCGCAGGUUCGAAUCCUGCCGGGCGCG